GAUGAACGCUGGCGGCGUGCCUAAUACAUGUCAGUCGAGCGAACGGACGAGAAGCUUGCUUCUCUGAUGUUAGCGGCGGACGGGUGAGUAACACGUGGAUAACCUACCUAUAAGACUGGGAUAACUUCGGGAAACCGGGGCUAAUACCGGAUGAUAUUUUGAACCGCAUGGUUCAAAAGUGAAAGACGGUCUUGCUGUCACUUAUAGAUGGAUCCGCGCUGCAUUAGCUAGUUGGUAAGGUAACGGCUUACCAAGGCAACGAUGCAUAGCCGACCUGAGAGGGUGAUCGGCCACACUGGAACUGAGACACGGUCCAGACUCCUACGGGAGGCAGCAGUAGGGAAUCUUCCGCAAUGGGCGAAAGCCUGACGGAGCAACGCCGCGUGAGUGAUGAAGGUCUUCGGAUCGUAAAACUCUGUUAUUAGGGAAGAACAUAUGUGUAAGUAACUGUGCACAUCUUGACGGUACCUAAUCAGAAAGCCACGGCUAACUACGUG
rnacentral:rRNA from 1 species